rnacentral:rRNA from 1 species
CGUGUAGGCGGUCGGUCAAGUCUGAUGUGAAAGCCCGGGGCUCAGCCUCGGAAGUGCAUCGGAAACUAGCCGGCUAGAGCGCGAUAGAGGAGGGUGGAAUUCCUGGUGUAGCUGUGAAAUGCGUAGAUAUCAGGAGGAACACCGGCGGCGAAGGCGGCCCUCUGGAUCGUUGCUGACGCUGAGACGCGAAAGCGUGGGGAGCAAACA